rnacentral:rRNA from 1 species
RRKKCGCCCUUAGAGUUUGAUCCUGGCUCAGAACGAACGCUGGCGGCGUGCUUAACACAUGCAUGUCGAACGUGAUUCAGAGCUUGCUCUGAUGAAAGUGGCGCACGGGUGAGUAACGCGUGGAUAACCUGCCCUGGUAUCUGGGAUAACAUCUCGAAAGGGGUGCUAAUACCGGAUAAGCCUCCGGGAUCUUCGGAUUCUGCAGGAAAAGAAGGCCUCUAUUUAUAAGCUUCCGUAUCAUGAUGGGUCCGCGUACCAUUAGCUAGUUGGUGGGGUAAUGGCCUACCAAGGCGACGAUGGUUAGCUGGUUUGAGAGAACGACCAGCCACACUGGGACUGAGACACGGCCCAGACUCCUACGGGAGGCAGCAGUGGGGAAUUUUGCGCAAUGGGGGAAACCCUGACGCAGCAACGCCGCGUGAGUGAUGAAGGCUUUCGGGUCGUAAAGCUCUGUCAGAGGGGAAGAAAUGAAACGUGCUAAUAUCACGUUUUCUUGACGGUACCCCCAAAGGAAGCACCGGCUAACUCCGUGCCAGCAGCCGCGGUAAUAC